GACGAACGCUGGCGGCGUGCCUAAUACAUGCAAGUAGAACGCUGAAGGAGGAGCUUGCUUCUCUGGAUGAGUUGCGAACGGGUGAGUAACGCGUAGGUAACCUGCCUGGUAGCGGGGGAUAACUAUUGGAAACGAUAGCUAAUACCGCAUAAGAGUAGAUGUUGCAUGACAUUUGCUUAAAAGGUGCAAUUGCAUCACUACCAGAUGGACCUGCGUUGUAUUAGCUAGUUGGUGGGGUAACGGCUUACCAAGGCGACGAUACAUAGCCGACCUGAGAGGGUGAUCGGCCACACGGGGACUGAGACACGGCCCAGACUCCUACGGGAGGCAGCAGUAGGGAAUCUUCGGCAAUGGACGGAAGUCUGACCGAGCAACGCCGCGUGAGUGAAGAAGGUUUUCGGAUCGUAAAGCUCUGUUGUAAGAGAAGAACGAGUGUGAGAGUGGAAAGUUCACACUGUGACGGUAGCUGACCAGAAAGGGACGGCUAACUACGUG
rnacentral:rRNA from 1 species